GGAUGUAGCUCAAUGGUAGAGCCUCAGUCUUCCAAACUGAUGGUGGGUUCCGCUGGAUCCCAUGCAAGCACUGGGAUCGACCGACAACUGAAAACCGAAAUCCCGGCCAAAACCCGUCCGAUCUU
rnacentral:tRNA from 1 species